UGAGUAGGACAAUAUGAUCGCAGCUGCAUAGGCCGAAAGGCUGCAGGUGAGGAAAGUCCGGGCUUCAUAGGGCAGGAUGCCGGAUAACGUCCGGUGGAGGUGACUCCAAGGCUAGUGCAACAGAAAUAUACCGCCAUUUGUUUCUUAGGAAACAAGAAGAACAGCGAAGCUGUUCUGAAGUACAUCUUUAGAUGUACUUUGGUAAGGGUGGAAAGGCAGUGUAAGAGACUACCGCCCUUUUGGUAACAAAAGGGGCAGCUGUAAACCCCAUCCGAAGCAAGACCCAAUAGAAAGUGGUGCAGUAGCCCGCUGUGCUUUCGGGUAGGUCGCUUGAGCUUGUUGGUAACAACAAGACUAGAUAGAUGAUCAUACUUUACUUGUCAUAGACAAGUAAAGAACAGAACUCGGCUUACGGUACUGCUCAUUUG
rnacentral:RNase_P_RNA from 1 species